rnacentral:sRNA from 21 species
CUGCGGGCCGCGUUAGUCGGACCUGGUGGUAAAGAGCACAGGGUGGUUUUUCCGGCUUCACACCUUGGCCAACGAAAAGGCAGUCGAGCUCUUGUCCCACCCGGCCC